rnacentral:rRNA from 1 species
UGACGGUACCUGACUAAGAAGCUCCGGCUAAAUACGUGCCAGCAGCCGCGGUAAUACGUAUGGAGCAAGCGUUAUCCGGAUUUACUGGGUGUAAAGGGCGUGUAGGCGGCCUGUUAAGUUAGGAGUGAAAGUCCUGUUUUCAAGGCGGGAAUUGCUUUUAAUACUGAUGGGCUUGAGUGCAGAAGAGGUAAGUGGAAUUCCUAGUGUAGCGGUGAAAUGCGUAGAUAUUAGGAGGAACACCAGUGGCGAAGGCGGUUAGCUGGACAGUAACUGACGCUGAGGCGCGAAAGCGUGGGUAGCAAACAGGAUUAGAUACCCUG